UCAAAGGGGACUUUUAUUCUUUCAGAACUUAGGGGGUACAAGCAACAGACAACUUCAGCUGUCUUGAGGAGAAAUGGAAUGUCCCUGAAGGAUACCAGGGAGGCUCACCAAACCUGAGGAGCUGUAGAACAACCAGGCUUUGAGAAGAGCAGAACUGGGGCAAUGCUGGAGACCUCAGGAACCACAGUAGAAAAUUAGAUGGUGCUUGCAAACACAAAGACACAGCAUGGCCUCCUGGAACAAAAUGAAAUCUACAGAGUCUUGAAGCAAUAUGGAGAGAUCAAAGUCCAGGUGGGUUGCUUGCUUUGUUGUGUGGCUGCCAUUUGGUAUCGUUUCCGUAUUUCAGUCAGUGUUGCUCAACUUCCACUCUCUCCAUCAUCAAAAAGUAUUUUUAGUCCCUUACAUUACAGGAAAUCUUUGGCAUUGUUCUCAGGAUUGGUCAGAUAGGGGAACAUGAGUUUUCCAUUGCUAGUAUAGCUGUAAGAAAAGGCUAGCAAAUACAUCUUUAUACCUUGGAGGGUAUAUAUACUCUCAUCCAAAGAUGUAUUUCACAGAUGCAAGAAGCUCAUUCACUAGCAUGGAACUACUCAGCUCUUCACCAACUAGGGCUUCCUGGGAACUUCACCCUCACCCCCCAAGACUGAGCAUCAAGGUGGUUAAAGUUCUGCAAGCCCAGAGAGAGCUCUCAAGGAUCUGACCACGUUGGCACCCUGAUAUUUGACUUCCAGCCUCCAGAACUAUGAGAAAAUGAAUUUCUGUUGUUUAAGUCAUCCAGUCUAUGGUAUGUGCUGUGAUUAAUCCCUUUCCUGUGACUUUGAGGACCAUGUCUACUUGAGAAGAUAGAGGGGAUCAAAAUGAAGGAGAGAAUUUCUUUUCUGACCCUCUGGCUGACUUUCCAUUCUUAAAGAAAUUAGAGCAAAUAAAUAAUUGGCAGUUUUGUUGAACUUUUGAGUGGCAUUUUGCAACUUGUUUAUGCCUAUUAUGGAAAUAAGUUUAUUAAAAAUUCAAACCAUAUGAGAACUUUACAGAUACUAAAAUAUGUUUUUAAAACUUAUAUAUGCUGAUUUGUAAUCUUUUGAAAUUCCAUGCAUAAAACAGAGCUUAUCCUUUCAUUAAAAUAUUUUCCUGCUUUUGAAUCUUUUAGCAGUGAACUCUAUUUUAAAGUGUGAAAUCUUAGUGGUUAUCUAUUGCUGCAGAUCGCCUUAAACUUAGUAGCUUACAAACUGUUUAUUCAUUCAUGAUACUGCAUUUUCUACAGGCUCAGCCAGGAAAAACUCAUCUCUGCUCCACAUGAUGUCAGAUGGGUGGCUCAAUGGGGUCUGUAGGAGCCACUUAACUCACAUGAGAACACAAGACACAUAAGGCCCUGAAAGUCAUUCAUUGAAAGGGCUUGGCUUUUGCCCUUUGUGAGAUGGGAAGCCACUGGAGGGUUCUGAGCACAAGAGUGGCAUAAUAUAACUUGUGUGCUCACAGGAUUACCUGGCUACUGGGUGUUGAGAAUAAACUAAGAGAGGGGUGGGCUGUCAAAGCUGGGAGCAGGGAGGCCAGUUAGGAAGCAAGUGUCAUGGCCCAGGGGAGAGAUGGUGGUGGCUUGGAGAAAUGAGACAGCAAGGGGAGAUGAUGUGAUUGGAUUUGGAUUAAUAUUCAUCUACACUUUCUUCUACUUAUUUUAUGGCAUUUUUGCGAUAUAUGAAGUUAGCUUUGGGGUAAGGUUUGAGGUAGUCAUCAACUCCACAAAUCUUUCUUGAGCAGCUAUUCUUAUGUUGUGCUUUCACAGUGCAGGAAAUCCACUGGAUACUCAAGAAAUAUCUGUAGUUUUGACCUGAACAGUUAUCUUAGCUAAGGUAAUAUCUGAGCACCUACUGUAAGGCCUGGCCCUGGUCCCUGAUGGGGAUGGGGCACCUAUGAACAUUUUGCAGUUCAGAUGCCUUCACAGUAAAGCCAGCUCCCCCAAACCAGGAGCCUCCCACCCCCAACUGGAGUGUACUCCUGUAAUGGGCAGAAACUUUAUUUUAAUGGUCUUUUUGAGCUGCCACCUUCUCCUCACUGAAGGCAUGCUGAACCGAGUUGCAUCUCAUCACCGGCUGGAGGGAUGUGGAGUAAGAUUGUGAAGAACAGACCCAAUUUGUGGAGGCCUCUGAGUGCUGGCAUGCCCUCUUGGGUGACAGUUGCUUUUUUUUCUUUUCUCCUCUUCCCCCUUCAGGAGCCCCAGUGUCCUGCAGCUGUUACAUCAGCCAGCCGCCCCUGCUGCCAGAUGAGCAGAACAAAAGAUGCGACUCGGUGACUACUCACAUCUGUACUUGUCAAAAGCAAACAGAACAGAUGCCCUUAGCAACGGGGCUCUCCAGCUCAGGGAGGAGAAAUGUCCCUUCUAAGAGCUGACAGAGCCACUUAGCGAUGGCAAGGAACAUCAUGAAACAGAACAUUAAACUUUGAUGAACUGCAAAGCCUCAGAGGUUUAAGCUGCAAGUCAACGGAGAUGUUCUAAUCUAUAUAAACACUCUGCAUGCAAAUUCUGGCACAGUUUUGGGCCUUAUUUGGAUGGUGUUUUUCACUGCCUCCUUCAGAAGAGACAGCUAUAAAGGCAAAAAGAGGUGCUGUGGUUUUCUUAUGAACUCGGGGGUAGGGAGCACUUCUUAGUAAGUCCUGGGGCUGGCCCUUCCUGCCCUCGGUCUGCACUUCAGCCUGGCUUUCCUGGGUCCUACGCUCGGGGUGUCUUCCCCAAUCUAAGGAGGGAGUCAGCACUGUGCCCCUCCCUGCCCCUGGCCUGCUGUCACCGUCUCUCUCCUAUAGGCUUUUAACCCAGAGCCCAGCACUGCAAGAGACACACCAGAGUUGGAGUAGGAGCAUUCACUCAGUAGUAACAAUUCCAAGUGCAAAUUGACUAUUUACUGUGGGCCGCACACAUGCUUUGAGGCCUUGUCCUUUGUUGAAAUGCUCCCCACAGCCCUGUGAUAUAGGUGGAUUAUUGGCCUUGUACUGAGGCCCGAGGUAGUAGAGUCAGUUGCUCUGAGUCACACCCGUUGUCAAUGGCAAAGCCAGAAUUUGCCCCAGGCAGUCUUAUUCCCAAGAUGGAGUCUUCACCAUCCUUCCACAACUUGCACAGAACCUCAUUUUUGGAAUGGAAAGAGAUUUCCUUAAUGGCAUUAAAGAAAAAGAGAAAAGGACUUUUCCUUCCUGUAUCAUAAUUCUCUUCUGCCCUGAUUCUCCAAUAUUGCACAUUUCUUUGGGGAGGGGAGCGGUGCCU